rnacentral:rRNA from 1 species
GAUGAACGCUGGCGGCGUGUCUAAUACAUGCAAGUCGAGCGAACAGAUAAGGAGCUUGCUCCUUUGACGUUAGCGGCGGACGGGUGAGUAACACGUGGGUAACCUACCUAUAAGACUGGAAUAACUCCGGGAAACCGGGGCUAAUGCCGGAUAACAUUUAGAACCGCAUGGUUCUAAAGUGAAAGAUGGUUUUGCUAUCACUUAUAGAUGGACCCGCGCCGUAUUAGCUAGUUGGUAAGGUAACGGCUUACCAAGGCAACGAUACGUAGCCGACCUGAGAGGGUGAUCGGCCACACUGGAACUGAGACACGGUCCAGACUCCUACGGGAGGCAGCAGUAGGGAAUCUUCCGCAAUGGGCGAAAGCCUGACGGAGCAACGCCGCGUGAGUGAUGAAGGUCUUCGGAUCGUAAAACGCUGUUAUUAGGGAAGAACAAAUGUGUAAGUAACUGUGCACGUCUUGACGGUACCUAAUUAGAAAGCCACGGCUAACUACGU